CCCCGCAGGACAGGGCCGGGCGGGGCUGUGAGUUGCGGAAGGCCGGGUGGAAGCAGGCCAUAGUUUCACGAGUCAGAAGGACACGCUCAGCAAAGGGUCAGCAGCAGCAGCGACAGCGGUGGCAGCCGGGAAGCCCCUGGCAGCGCUGGAAACUCGAGGGUUUGGAGCACGGAGACCACUUCUUCAGGGCCCACUCGUAGACCACAGAGUCAUCUUCCAGGACGUUGUUGUCGUCGACGUUGAGCGAGUCCUCGUGGAUCAUGUAUUUGUACGUCAGUGAGAUCCGUGUGUCUCCCGCCGGGAUGACCUGUCACCAGCCCAAGAUGCCGAGAUGUCCUGGCCUGCCCUGCCCUCCAUGCUUCCUCCCCAGCCAGCUCAGGAAAGGCAGCUGAGGCAGACUCCAGAGGAGUCUCAUCAUUCAUGGCAGUUACAUUCCACGAAGUCACCUCGAGCACCAAAUUCAUGAAUACGCAACCAUUACCCCAGGGGGCACAGGGUUAGGUUCCUGUGAGCCUCUGUCUCAACAUUUUUGUUACCUGAUCAAUAUAUAACCUCGUUUUA